UUUGUGUUGUCGGCCUUUCACUUUCGUCAUUCUUAAAUAGUGAACGUCGAAUUUAUUGCGCUUAAUAAAAAUAAAGUAAAAAAGAAUUAAAACGAGUAAAUUCACCUAAUAUAUUUUAAAAGUACAUAAAACUUUGAAAAUGAGUCGCGGUAAUCGACCUCCUCCUCGUAUAGACGGCAUGGUGUCUUUAAAGGUGGAUAAUUUAACGUAUCGUACAACACCAGAAGAUUUAAGGCGUGUUUUUGAAAGAUGUGGAGAAGUUGGUGAUAUAUAUAUUCCUAGAGAUCGGUUCACAAGAGAAAGUAGAGGUUUUGCUUUCGUAAGAUUUUUUGAUAAAAGAGACGCCGAAGAUGCACUUGAAGCAAUGGAUGGUAGAGUAGUUGAUGGAAGAGAGCUUCGCGUUCAAAUGGCUAGAUAUGGUCGUCCAACUUCACCAAGCAGAAGAGGAGGUGGUCGACGUGGUCGUGAUAACAGAAGACGCUCUCGUUCGCCAAGAUAUAGGCGCCGCUCCUAUUCUAGGUCGCGAACUCCAGAUAGUGUGUCGCCGAGACGAAGAGGUAAAUUCUCUCGUUCAAGAAGUGCUGAUAAAAACAGAAGCCGAAGCGGAAGUCGUAACAGAAGAAGUGAAUCAAGAAGCCCCAGGCGCAGCAGGAGUUAAAAAGCAUAACGUGUCAGAGCAUCCCAUCAUUAAAGCCGUUUACGAUCCAGAAAUAUUGGAUUCGUGUGCAGUUUUUGUGAAUAUUAUGCAGAAUUUAUGAUAGUAAAAGAUCAUGUAUAGAAAGAAAGCUGCUCGUUAAUUUUCGAUUUGGGUUUUAAUCAAAGAAUUCUGAAAUGGCUGAGAAUGCUGAGUUAGCUUUAUUGUGGUGUCAAAAAAAAAAGAAAAAAGCUGCAACCAGAUUUAUAUAGUUUUAAAAAAAAAAUUAAGAAAUUUAAUGGCAACACUUCUUAUAUUUGAUUAUUUUGUUCGAGACUAGAAGCAGUUUUCUAUUAAAAUAUUAAUUUUUGCAGUUCUUUAAUAUAAAUGCAGCAGUAAAUGUAUAGCGUAAAUUCAUCUUAUUACAUACCAGUAUUUGCCGAUUGUUAAAGUUUUAGGUUUUUUUUUUUUGUUUUUCGUCGCGUCUAUUUUAUUAAAAUUACGUUUCCAGUUUUAUUGCAAAGCAGUUUAAGUAUGAAGUUUUCCAGUGAUUCUUUGGCUUGGAAGCUGCUUGUCACCAUGUUACCUGUUUGCGGCAACUGAUUAUUGCAGUUUACGGGUCAUUUUGGCAGUCCUUCAGUGGUGUUUUUAAUAGGUAAAAUGAAAAAAAGGCUUAAAUCCUUUCAGUUUGUAAUCUAAAGAUAAGACAAUGGUGAAAUUUUUAUAUUUUAAAGUAAAUCCCAAUAAAAUUCUUUUUCAAACAUGACACAAAAACAAAUUUACAUGUAAAAUAUAAAAAUUUUAAUAUAUUUUGAGAUUAAAGUAGAAAAAUUUUGCUAGUAUCUCAAAAUCCCAUUGUUUUUGAUGAUAGCAUUUAGAAAUAGAAAGGAUGUUAAGCUAUAUUCAAUACCAGCAGCAAAGUUCCCAUUUUAAUUUUCUGCUACAUAUUUUUAUUAUUUUAUUUUUCAAUUAACUUUCCCAAACAACAAACGGAACCUCCGAAUAAUAUACAUAUGUACGAAAUUUCAAUUUUGUAUUUAAACUUGAGGUUUUUAUUUAGUUGGGUUCAGCUGUUUUAUUUCAAAAUUUCAAGUAUAGACGUAUUUUAAAAUUUUUAUUUGGUUAGAAAAGGCUUUGAGAAUUCUAAAAUUUAUAAUUUUAAAGAAAAAGUCGGGAAAUAUAACAAAAGGAUUAUUAUUUUUAACCAAUGGAUUAUGCUUGGUUUACAUUUUUAUAUAUACAUACAUAGAUAAUUAAUACAUACACAUAUGUACCUAUAUUAAGAGUCGUUCGAUUUCAAUUUGGGCUUUUUCAAAUAAAUGCAGAAAUCCCUACAAAGUCUUGAAUUUAAAAUAAA